UACGUAGGGUGCGAGCGUUGUCCGGAAUUAUUGGGCGUAAAGGGCUCGUAGGCGGUUUGUUGCGUCGGGAGUGAAAACACUGGGCUUAACCGAGUGCUUGCUUUCGAUACGGGCAGACUAGAGGUAUGCAGGGGAGAACGGAAUUCCUGGUGUAGCGGUGAAAUGCGCAGAUAUCAGGAGGAACACCGGUGGCGAAGGCGGGUCUCUGGGCCGAUACUGACGCUGAGGAGCGAAAGCGUGGGGAGCGAACAGG
rnacentral:rRNA from 1 species